CACAGCGACAACCAGGGAGAAGACAAGAUUGAAGAAAAGGGAAGAAAGAAGAAAAGAGAUGACUUGAGUGAAGGCAGACUGAAGAGGACUGAAGAUUGGGAGAAGAUCUGAGUGAAGAGGAGAGUGGAGUGAAGAACUCAAGAAAGAAGACCAGACGAAGCAGAAGGGAAAAAGAAUACCUACAGGAGAUCACAGGUGGGAAGUGAGCUGCUGAGGUUAGCUCCAGCUUGAACUGAUGACAUUUUAGAGGA